rnacentral:rRNA from 1 species
AUGGCGAGGCAACUAUCGCUGCGCCGGAGCCUCGCCGUCCCCCCGGUGGCUGCGGGAUCCGGUGACGACGGAUCUCAGGGGAUGAUGACACGAGCGCGGCGUCGGCGGCUUUGCCUCCUCGCAGAAUCUUCCGAGCGCGAGCGAUUGGGCGGUCUUGGCGCGUCAGAUGAAUCAUCGGCGAGGGAGACGACGGAAGCGCGUCGUCAGGUUCAGUUCGUCCCGCAGGAAUGGAGGGAUUGGGCCAACCUGCUUCCUCUGGACCUCAUCGAGGAGAUCUCCGGCAGGCUGCUCUCCCUCGACGUGGCCGAGUACCUCCGCUUCCGCGCCGUGUGCAGGCCGUGGCGCGGACUCACCGCCGACCCGCGCGCAGCAGGCCUCCUGGACAGCCGCUUCCGCCCCCGCAACUGGAUGGUGCUCUCCAUCAUGCCUGACGUCGUGCCCCCCCGCCGCCUCCUCAACCUGGCCACCGCGGCCUCUCUCGGCGUCCAUCUCCCGGCGCUCUCCACCCACUGCCACAUCUGCGCCGCCGACGGCCUCCUCGUCCUCUUCCACAAACCCACCAGGACCAUUCGCCUCCUCGACCCCGGUUUUGACGACUCCACCUCGCCGCCCACGUUCAUGCUCUGCGUCAGAGCCGGUGUAGCCACCAUCAUCUUCGCCAAACCUGGCGAUGCGCACUGGACGCUGGUCAGCCCAGGCCUUGUCUCCCACCCCUUUUAUGACGAGCGUCGCAAGGUGCUAUUCUCCUCAUUGCUGUCCCUGGGAGGACGCUGCUACAUCAGCUCGCCAGAGGGUUCGGUCUACCUUCUUGAGCUGCAGCCGAUACCUCGGCUGGUGAAGAGAGGCAUGGAGCGCUUUGGCGGCGUUGAAUCUUACAAUCCAAAGGAGCUAUUCACAGUGGGCGGCAUUACCGGCCGCAUUGAGGUGUUGAAGGUGGACAUCGCCCGCCGGAGGCUGAUCCCCGUGAGGAGCCUUGGCCGGCAUGCGGUGUUUCUUGGCCGGACGCACUGCUUGCACAUCUCUACCAAGACAUUCCCCUCCAUUUCUGCCGGCUCGAUAUACCUGGGCUGCUAUCAUCAGCAAAUUUGUGGGUUCAGCAUCUAUCAUAUCAACAACAAGAAGAACCAUGGGAGGACCAAACCCGAGCACAAGUUCGUCUUCGUUGUAACCCUGGGUUUAACUCCUGCUGCCAGACCCUACAACCUUGACGAGUAUCUUGUUGGACAAUGUGCUUUUCGAGGUGAUGAUGAUUUCAAGCACCUGUCACAGAAUGCAGAAGAUCAUGUGCCAGCCUCUGACGAACUUGAUGAAGAUAAUCUGAUGGGGCAGUUAUUUGCCGAGAAUCCCCUGGAGCUGGCUCAGUAUGCAGAGAAUCACGUGCCAAUGUAUGAUGACCAUGAUGAAGAUGUUCUGACGGGACAGUUAUUCGCUGAGAAUCCCCAGGAGCUGGCUCAGUAUGCAGAGAAUCAUGUGCCAAUGUAUGAUGACCAUGAUUAUGGUCCUGAUCGGCUGCAGAGAAUUCAGUGUACUUUGGCUAACUCACAGCGAUAUGAAGCACAUGGUCUCGACAUGCUGGCACACGCCGCACUGUUGUUGACCCAGCUUCAGACUGCUGAAAGGUCUUACCAUGUCCGUGUCUCCGAGGCUCACCUCGAGGGGAUCACUCGGUGGGCCGAACAGAUGGGUGCGUAUGCAGAAGUUCUGGAUGAUUACUGUGACGAGGUGCACGAGUUUGCGUUAUACCUGAUUCGCUUUGAUUUGGAAGAUCCAGUGUUUGCAAGGCACCAGGAGUUGGAAACAGUGGCUGACCGGUUAAUAAGAGAGCAAAGAAACUUGAGAGCGCGGGUCAGGCGUGCACGGGAAAGAAUGCAGGUGUGGCAGGAAUGGUUUGAUGAGAGGGUGAGGCUUCUGCAUCUGAGAUAA